rnacentral:sRNA from 1 species
CUUCCUCCUCCCAUUUCACGUUUCUCUCCUCUUCCAUGAAAACUUCUCUCAAGCUUCCAUCACUCUCUCAAACUAACCUCAAUUUUCAUGCUUUACACACCCUGUUGUAGGGUUAUUCAUACUCUUUUACUCCUUCACCUUAAACAAACCCUUAAAAGUCUUUCUUCAAUACUUUCUCUCACUAGCUGAACUUUAUAGAGAGAGAAAGAGAGGUUUCAUGUUAGCUUGAGGACUCAUGGGAAGAAAUUUCAUUACAAUCACCAAGGUUCCAACAAGGCCCCUCAGCCCCAUUUAGACCAUUAGGAAGGUUAGAGUCGAUUAAAGGUUCAACAAAUACCGGUUCUCUGAGUUAAAGGUGAUUGGAUCCUAAGACGAGGUGCUCUUCCCUAUCCAUUGCCUGGUAGGUUUGUCAUGAUACUAAGUGUUGGCACCCACGCCUAUAGUCACUCCGCUGAUGGUUUAAGUCUUUGAAUGUGUACAUGUAAACUGGAUGUAACUUGCUAA